AUUGAACGCUGGCGGCAGGCCUAACACAUGCAAGUCGAGCGGAUGAAGGGAGCUUGCUCCUGGUUUCAGCGGCGGACGGGUGAGUAAUGCCUAGGAAUCUGCCUGGUAGUGGGGGAUUACGUCCGGAAACGGGCGCUAAUACCGCAUACGUCCUGAGGGAGAAAGUGGGGGAUCUUCGGACCUCACGCUAUCAGAUGAGCCUAGGUCGGAUUAGCUAGUUGGUGGGGUAAAGGCCUACCAAGGCGACGAUCCGUAACUGGUCUGAGAGGAUGAUCAGUCACACUGGAACUGAGACACGGUCCAGACUCCUACGGGAGGCAGCAGUGGGGAAUAUUGGACAAUGGGCGAAAGCCUGAUCCAGCCAUGCCGCGUGUGCGAAGAAGGUCUUCGGACUGUAAAGCACUUUAAGUUGGGAGGAAGGGCAGUAAGUUAAUACCUUGCUGUUUUGACGUUACCAACAGAAUAAGCACCGGCUAACUUCGUG
rnacentral:rRNA from 1 species